rnacentral:rRNA from 1 species
GUCGAACGGUAACAGGAAGCAGCUUGCUGCUUUGCUGACGAGUGGCGGACGGGUGAGUAAUGUCUGGGAAACUGCCCGAUGGAGGGGGAUAACUACUGGAAACGGUAGCUAAUACCGCAUAAUGUCGCAAGACCAAAGAGGGGGACCUUCGGGCCUCUUGCCAUCGGAUGUGCCCAGAUGGGAUUAGCUUGUUGGUGAGGUAACGGCUCACCAAGGCGACGAUCCCUAGCUGGUCUGAGAGGAUGACCAGCCACACUGGAACUGAGACACGGUCCAGACUCCUACGGGAGGCAGCAGUGGGGAAUAUUGCACAAUGGGCGCAAGCCUGAUGCAGCCAUGCCGCGUGUAUGAAGAAGGCCUUCGGGUUGUAAAGUACUUUCAGCGGGGAGGAAGGGGUUAAGGUUAAUAACCUUAGCCAUUGACGUUACCCGCAGAAGAAGCACCGGCUAACUCCGUGCCAGCAGCCGCGGUAAUACGGAGGGUGCAAGCGUUAAUCGGAAUUACUGGGCGUAAAGCGCACGCAGGCGGUCUGUCAAGUCGGAUGUGAAAUCCCCGGGCUCAACCUGGGAACUGCAUUCGAAACUGGCAGGCUUGAGUCUCGUAGAGGGGGGUAGAAUUCCAGGUGUAGCGGUGAAAUGCGUAGAGAUCUGGAGGAAUACCGGUGGCGAAGGCGGCCCCCUGGACGAAGACUGACGCUCAGGUGCGAAAGCGUGGGGAGCAAACAGGAUUAGAUACCCUGGUAGUCCACGCCGUAAACGAUGUCUAUUUGGAGGUUGUGCCCUUGAGGCGUGGCUUCCGGAGCUAACGCGUUAAAUAGACCGCCUGGGGAGUACGGCCGCAAGGUUAAAACUCAAAUGAAUUGACGGGGGCCCGCACAAGCGGUGGAGCAUGUGGUUUAAUUCGAUGCAACGCGAAGAACCUUACCUGGUCUUGACAUCCACAGAACUUGGCAGAGAUGCCCUUGGUGCCUUCGGGACUGGUGAGACAGGUGCUGCAUGGCUGUCGUCAGCUCGUGUUUGUGAAUGUUGGGAUUAAGUCCCGCAACGAGCGCAACCCUUAAUCUUUGUUCCAGCGGUUCCGGCCG